rnacentral:lncRNA from 1 species
UGGGUAAUUCACAAAAAGAACGUUAAUGCAGUUCACCUUAAGAUCUUCGCUCCGACGCUUAAUAAAAAAACAGAUCACCCUUCUUCUAAAAAACAGUAUGCAGUUCACAAAAAUUCUCGCCGUAAAUUUGUUUCGUCUGAGAUGCAUGGGUUAAGACACAAAAAAAUGUAUGCAGUUCAGUACAUUCUAGAAACGAAUUAUUAUACACUAUUUACUGCAGUUCACUCGAGCAGAAAAAAAAUAAGAAAAAAAAGAGAAAUACCGUGAUAAACAAAGGGGACAGCAGAAUGCGUUCCCCAGAUCGAUAAACCACAUUCAUACUCUCGUCAUUCUUCCAGAACCUGAUGAUAUGAUCCAUCAAAUCCGAGUCCAUAAAACCACCUUUGGUGAAAGUUAUGAACAUGUAGUCCACAGUCGCGGUGUAGACUUCGAUAGGAUUCCUGUGCAUGAAAAGCGCGCACCUGCACAAAAGAAACGGCGAAGGUGGGGGGGUUAGUAGCACAAAAGCAAAAACACAGAAAAGAACAUUACACACAUUAAAAAUCAAAAAAAUAUAAAAAAAACUAACGAAAAAAGAACUGACUCGCUGUAUUUCUGCCUGAAUUGUGUGCUCGUGAUGAGUUGCAAGACUUUUAUCAUCUCCACAAGAUAGCUGAAUCUCGCAGGAUUCAACUUCUGUACAGGAGAUCGAAACUUUGAUGGCUUCUGCACAGGCCUCCUAUUUGAUAGAAUUAGUGCCUCACUGUCCGUCGGGCAUUCCACAGCUGCCCUCCUGGUACUCCUAGGCACUGGUGGUGGCCUCUCAAAAUCAUCAUCGCUAUCUUCAGCAUUAGGAGGGCUCGCAGCUUUCUUCCCAUGCUUGACAUUGACAGGAGAUUUCUAAAGAGCUUUUUCAUUCGAAGUGCCGGCACCACUCCUCAACAUCUUACGCAUAGGUUCUUUCACAACCUUAACGGGGGGUUCAUCAAGGACAACUUUCUGAAUAGUUGGAGUAUAAACCUGAGUUUCAAACAAGGAAAUACCACCUUGGUGUGUGCCUUCAUCAAAGCCUGCACAAAAAAAUGGAUAAUGAGCAAAAUGAAAAAGAAUCAUCAAGUUCCCUAAGGAAAAGUCAUUUUAAACACACAAAUGGGAUUCUACUAAAAAAAGCUUAACAAAAGUAGUGGACCUCCCCUCUCUGUACCAAUGAAGUUCACUUAAUAAAAAAGGUGUGUGACUGGAAAAAAAUGUAAUAACCUUCUUUAAAAAUUAAAAGUGAAGUCAGGUCCAGACAGCAAUGCGACGUGGUCAGCCAACUAUAGAGCAUAGCCUUCCUAAUGUAGCCAAUGUGCUCCUUCCCAAACUUGGCAAUCGUUUCACCAUCCCAGGUCUGCAUGAAUUGGAACAUGUAAAAUCCACAAUCAUGCCUGCAAAAAAAACCAACACAAAACACAUUAAUAAUGCAGUUCACUCAGUAAUGAAAGAGCUACUCAUGUUAGUAAAACAAUGCAGCUCCAUACACACAAGAGACCGAGGGAGAAACAACCAAUAACAGAUUAGUAAUGUAGUUCGCUCAAAGGGAAAGGGCGCUUCUAAUUUAGUAAAAACAAUGCAGCUCACUUACACAAAAAAAAUGAAGGAGGAAAAAAGAAAAAAGGAGAAUAGGUACAAACCCGUUUCCCUGUUGCGGGACAUUAACACGAGUCACCGCAAAGCCGUCCAGGGUGGGAGGGUUCAACGGCUCGUCGCAGCUUGCGCUGCCAUCUUUCCAGACUUUUUUGAUGUUCCUGACCAUUUUCCUGAAGACAACAUUUGCAGCAGCGCUGCCUCCUUUAUUCAAUGAGUCGAGAAGCUCAAAACGCUUCUCUCGCAGGUUCAAAGUGACCAAGCAGUAGUGGCCUAUCGCGUCCUUCAUUGUUGCGGGAGGAGGGUCAAAUGUUGCAAACAUAAUCUGAAAUAAAAAAAGAAUAAAACAAACCAGAUGAGAAAAAAUAGAAAAAACAGAAAACUUAUUUUCAAGAUGACGAAAAAAUGGUCAAGAUGCGUUACCAAUUUUUUCUUGUCCACACGUUCCUCUGCGCUUGAAGAAAACAUCUUUUUCAGAGCCCUAUUUGUGGCACCACCGUUCCAAAUGGAAUUCUGCAAAAAAGACAAAUCCAAAGAGUUAAUGAAAAAUGGUUAUAGCACAAAUAAAAAUUGGAUGAGGGGAUAAAAAUAUAAAUUAAUGAAAAUGCUUACACAUAGGUUGUACGGGAUAAUCAUAGUUUGAGAUCCUUUGAACCUUUCAGCUAGCAUAGACACGCCAAUGUUUGCGAGGCGCGUGCUCAGCGUUCCAUACGACCAAAAAGACUCGCCAACAUGACCGAUAGUAAUAUCACCAAACUCGUCCUUGAACGCAACUAGAUGCCUUCAGACAAGAAGAAAAAAGCACAGCAAAAAGUGAUAAGACGGGAGCGUCCCUAAAAAAAUAACAUAUUAAUUAACCACGGCGUAAGACAAAAAAUGUCGUACUUCUUCUUCUUGUCCCUCCUAGCCCUCGUAACAGCGUCAUACAACUCAUUGUAUCUUCUCAUAAGAGCUGGAUCAAUCCUUGAAGCAGUAACAACAGGUAAUUCCUCAUAUGCAUACAGAGUGGGAACGAUAUCAGAUGAUAAAACACACACGGUCCAUUUCGCCCCCGGGAAAAGAACAAAAAUAAUGCAGUUCGCUUACCUUCGAUUUCAGAAUAAACUUCCUUCUGCUGCUCCUAUACAUCUUCGCUGAGCGUCAAGUGCUCCAGCCCGGUAAUAUCAUCGUCAAGCGGCGCUUGAUUGCUCAUGUCCUAAGAAAGUCUUGGCUGUUCCUCUUCGGAAUCAAUCGAAACUGUCUCAGGUGGGACUUUGGUUGUAUCGGCUGGGAAAGCCAGAUUGCCGACAGAUUGCUCGGGGGCGCGAGGGACCACACAAAAUUUCUCAGGCACCUCGCCGCCAUCCAACAAAACUGUAGGCACAACAACACCAUCGACGCCAGCGGAUGUCCCGACAUCGUCAAAUCCGACUCUACGAGUUCCUUCUGUCUCUUUUGCAACUUCAACUGUAACACCAGGAGCUCCUUCUUUCUCUUCAUGCUUAUCACAAUCCAGGAUAUCCUCCCUUCCUUCGCUCUCUUGUGCCUUAUCAGCCUCAACAGGACACUCCCCUCCUUCUCUACCUUCUGCCUUAUCAACCUCCGCAUCAGGCUCAUCCCCUCCUCUCCCUUCCACAUUAUCAUCCCCAAUGUUGCGCUCCGCUUGGAUUUCCACAUUUAAUCCGCAGUUCUGAUGAGUUAAAAAAUAAAACACAUUACACAAAAAAGAUAGAAAUGCAGUUCACUAAUAAAAACGGACCAUGAAGCUCCCAUGAAAAAAACACAAAAAUGCAAAAAUUCUCUAUACUCACCAGGGAAGCGUCGUCGCCUUCCAUCUCUUUACACUUGUCAGCCUCCUCAUCCUUGCCAGCGUCGUCACCAUUUGCCUCCUUCACAUGUAUCUCCACGUUUGAUUCGGCAACCUAAAAAACAUUAAAACAUAAAUAAAGCUAUUAUCCAAAUCUACAGUUCUACAACUAAAAAACCAACACCAGAUCAUGCAGUUCACUGCUAAAAAAAAGAUGAUGCUUCUUCUCUAGACAACAACUGCAGUGCACUACCACUUCUGGUGCAUAAAAAUACAAAAAAGUUAAAAACGGCAGUUCGCUGCCACUGCUGGUGCAAAAAAAUAUGAUUGUUUGUUUUGGACACUACAAAAAAAUCAAACAAUGAAGUUCACUGUAACAAAAAAUAGGAAGAAAUCAAACCUUGUCGAUGACGACUUCGUCAAUAGGAUUGUCUUUGGCAGCUUCGUCAACGGGGGAUAAUGGCCUGUCAAGCAAGUAAUCAGAAUCAACACCGUCGUGGUCCUGGUGGUCAUCAACACGACAAGCGUUAGCCUUGGAAGAUUCUCCAAGACACUGCGAAAAGAACAAAAGGAUAGCAAAAAACAAAUAGUCAAUGCCACAAACGCACGGAAAAAAUAGAUAACAAAAUAUGGGUAAAAAAACUGUUCACAUAUGGAAAAAAGACAUACAUCCACAUCUGCGGGGUCGGGCGAAGAAGGCCGGACAACAUCUUCAUGCCUGUUCAUUUCCUUCACGAUUGCAUCCGCUUCCUACUCAUACGUAGCACACCUGUCAUCCUGAGACUGCUUAAACUGAACGAAUGAAGAUCUGAUAUUCGUUACAGCCUGCUUAAGGAAUUCAAGCUGCCCGCGGUCAAAGUUAUGAGCGGCCUUGAUUUCUGCUUCAGAAGGGCCUUUGCCUUCAGGAAACAACCCGGCAAUAUUCCUCAUCCUAGAACCGGAUGUUGGGAAAUCACUAGUUAUAUUGAUGACCCUAUCGAGAAGCCCAUCGACCUGAACAAAUUUAUUACGAUCAACAGAAGCAUGGCCAUAAAAACCUCCAGCAGCCGCCCUAGCAAAACCAUGACCCCGUCGAAUUGGAGCCGCCCUAGAAAGAGGCUCACAAAACAUUUCAGGGGCUUCGGCAACUGCAGUCCGCUUGUACACAAUAUCCGCUUCCGCCUUCCACUGAAAAAAUUAACAAAAAAAAGAGAUGCAGUUCACAAAAAAGUACGUAAAGAGGUUCACAUUUAGCAUGCGCGAAAAAAAGGAAUAAAAACAAAAACAAAGCAUGGCUAUGCACUCACCGGCAGCUUGGCAAACUUGUAAGAGUCCAGGUGUAUCUUUCCCCUGACAACGAUGUCGGCGUUGUGAAUCUUCUUCAACUGCACAUGGGACAGUAUUGCGACGCGUGGAGUGUGUUUAUCCAUCACCGAUACUUUUCGAAGAUUCAAGGAAUCCAGGUACAUGAACAGGGGAACGAUGGUGCAACCCUCAGCGCAGUUCUGCUUGCUCCCUUUAGAAUUCCACUUGUACACAGCGGCCUGCAGCUCGUCGACAACAAGCUGACAAAAGUCCAUGCUAGCCAUAGAUGCAAUAUCCAAGUUUUCAACCAUAGCAGCUACCCUGGACAACCGAGUUGCGGGGCUAGGACAAAUCAAGCACUCGAAGACAAUGAGAAAAAAAACCUUCACCGUCUUAUCAACCUUCGCAGGGUCAGCAGCUAGCGUGCGAAGUAAGGUAAGCAGGUCCUUCGCAUCUAUGCUACGAGAACGGUUGAAACCGAGUUCAUCCUUCAGAUUAGUCAGCGAAUCAUCAUGGCCGCUGGCAGCAGGCCUGGGAGCAGUGUGAGAACCCAUAGGGAAGUCAAAAAUGUGAUGGACAGCCUCGCGAUUGAUUUCCAGAACCUUGUUUGGCCCACAGUCCAAUCUCAUCGUGUCGGGGUCGAUCUUUCCCAUCAGCUUGCACAUCAAAACACGAGAAACAUUCUUCUCUAAUUUCAGGUCAAAGACAAUGCCAAAACCUGCUUGCCGCACCAAAGUUCUGUGCACCUCACCCAGCAAAGCGACAGCUUUGAUUACAUUUGGAAUGGACAGCCGAACAGUCUUGUUGAAACGCCAUUGAUGCGCAACAUCAUCUUCAGACCUCUUCCUCUUCGUACUCUUAGCAGCCUACAAAAAAACAAAAGAAUAAAAAAAUGCAGUUCACAUCAGCAAACGCAUGCCAAAACAACUUAAAAAACAGAAGAAAAAGUAAAAUAAACAACGUAUACCUUACUAACAUCAACAUCCUCCUCAUCAGAAUCGCUGUCCAGAGCUUCUUCAGCUGCAUUUUCCCGCGCAAGCUUAGAUCGACGCUCAGAAUCAACACCAGAGUGAUCGUCCGCACGUCUCCGCUUUCCUUGAAUCCCACCCACACCAACCUCGGCGUAAUUAGGUCUCUUUGAGUAAUCAACAUGCGGGCUCCGGCAUGGAGAACUUAAACCUUGCUUUGUGACAGUGUUGAGUUUCCUCUUCACAGGAUUCUUUGCGGGGGCAAAUUUAGCAGACUUCUUUGAAUCUGCAAUCCUCCUUCCUAUCUCCUUACCCUCCCCUAACUUUACUUGCUUCGCCCUAUGAGCCUUCACAAAAGUAUUACCGAGCGCAAUAGCUUUCUGCCUUCUCCUCUCAACAUCGGCUGCAAUCUGAUCAGGGACCAUCCAAUCCUGUGUAACUGGCUCUGUGCCAUCAACAGAUUGCGACUGGGUUUCACUCAAUUUAGGUAAUGUUGACCUGAUCAGAUGUACCGCCACCGACAACAUCGGUUGUGAAAUAACGUGUAAUCAAAUAGUUAACGCCACCACCCCCUGACCCACCAGGAGAUAAAACUGUGGGUGAGAUAAAACAUAAGAAAAAGAUGUGUGUGUGAGAUGAAGACCUAAACUUAAUGCAGCUCAUAUCAACUUGGAAAAACAAAAAAAUGUAGAAAUGCAGUGCACUUUUCCAGCAGUUUAUGUUUAACAAUUAAAAACAUAACAGUAAACCUAAAAAAAUGCAGUUCAUGUCGCUUGAAAUAUCAUAUUCACGCGUGUCCGAAAGUGGACAUUGGUACAGGGAUAUAUGAUGCAGUGCACUAAUUCGUUCAAGUGACCAAUUGAACGCAUAUAAAAAAAGAAGUGCGCUUAGACAUGCAAAACAAAACAAAUUCAUGCAGUUCUGUGAGAGGCAAAAACUAAAACUUAAUGCAGCUCAUAUCGAUUUCGCAAACCGCAUAGUGCAUAGACAAAAAAAAUACAAAGCAGUGUCCAAAAUGUAAUGCUCUUUUAGCAGUUUAUGUUUAACAAAAAAAACAAAACAACUAACUUAAUGUCCUUCCAAAAAAGUAAAAAACAAUUAACUUGACGCAGUUCAUAUCAGUUUGCCACACGUGUCUUAAAAAAAGGCCUUACUAAAAAAGGAAUCUAAGAUGCAGUGCACUAUUUUGUUCAACAAAAAGAAGUAAAUUGACCCUGAAUAAAAACUGCAGUUCACUUUGAUGUAGUUACCAGAUGGAGAAGCCGUUCUAACUGGUGACGCAUCAAUUGGGGAGGAAGAAGCCAUACUGUGCCUCCAAUCAGCAAGGGAUAAUAAUUAAACCCUAGACAGCAAACCCCAAAUUCAGGCAGAGAAAAACUUUCAAUCCAUAGGGUGUUGCAAUUAAAAGCAUACAAAACAACCUUAAGAAGAGAAUGCUGGCAUGAAAAAUAACCCUAGCACAAGAUCUGGAACGGAUUAGGGGCGAUUUGGGGCUCACCGUGGGACGAAGUGACGGCCGAACGAGGCGGGUGCGGACGGCAACGGCGGAGGAAGCGCCCUACGGACGGCGGCGGCUGCGGGCGUCGUCGCCCUCCACCACGAGAGAGCCCCUACGGACGNNNNNNNNNNNNNNNNNNNNNNNNNNNNNNNNNNNNNNNNNNNNNNNNNNNNNNNNNNNNNNNNNNNNNNNNNNNNNNNNNNNNNNNNNNNNNNNNNNNNNNNNNNNNNNNNNNNNNNNNNNNNNNNNNNNNNNNNNNNNNNNNNNNNNNNNNNNNNNNNNNNNNNNNNNNNNNNNNNNNNNNNNNNNNNNNNNNNNNNNNNNNNNNNNNNNNNNNNNNNNNNNNNNNNNNNNNNNNNNNNNNNNNNNNNNNNNNNNNNNNNNNNNNNNNNNNNNNNNNNNNNNNNNNNNNNNNNNNNNNNNNNNNNNNNNNNNNNNNNNUGUGCGGGCACAGGGGAGAGGGAAUCGGGAGCGGGCAAGGGGGCUGCAAGAGAGACUUAAUGAAUAAAAGCCCGACCGACAGGCCCACAGGUCAUAGACAAAAAAAUAAAAAAACGUCUUGGUGUUGUAACACGAUGUAGUUCGCUUACGGAAAACCGCCUCGGCUUCUGAAGCAUUGCAGUUCGUUUACGGGAAACGAUUCCGCUUCUGAAGCGAUGCAGUUCGCUUACGGCGGACGAUUCGGUUCGCCCGCCCUAAAAUAAUUGCGCCCACUAUCGCCCGAAGCGUCGCGCCGCCCCCCUCCUCUAUCCCGCCGGUUGCACGCCGCACGAAUGCCACGAUCAUCACGAACCCACGAUCGCCAACACGGUUGGGAGACGAGAUCGUGGCCUCGACAGAAGUUGCUGCCGCUCCCAUUUAAAUCCCGCGCUCCAUCAACCAGACCGUCCGCACAAAACACACGACGCUGCCCCUUCCUCCUCCUCUUCCUCCUCUUUGCAGCAAUGGGGUUCAGCAGGACCUACAACGACGUCCAUGCGCACGGGAACACGAAGCUGAAGGUGAUCUACACCACCGACGUCGACGCCAUGGCGACGUACGUCGAAGAGUUCAAGACAGUUCUCCAGCUACGCCGCCAGAAGAUCAUCGGCAUCGACGUGGAGUACACACCCGACCACGACAGGGCGGCCCUGGUUCAACUAUCCAUCGGCAAGUACCACCCAGUGCUUCUUUUCCAGGUAUGUGGUACAUUGGGCAAGAGAUGCAUCCCCUUCGACAGGUUCCUCGCCGACCCAAGGUAAGCAAUUCUCUCUGCCGAGUACGUGUUGCAGUUCUAUAUGCAUGUAUAUGCAGUUCCGAAAGGUAUAACUUGCGGUUCACUUUCCUUAGGUUCGAGUUCGCUGGCUUCGCCAUCAAGCAGGACAAGGAGAAGCUCCCACGCUGCAACCUCCACAUCACCAACUUCGUCGACAUCCAGACGAACUGGAGGGUGCCUGAUGGAACGAAGCCACUGGACUCGCUUGGCGAUGUAGCUGCUGCCAUCAUCGACGACGAGUACGCAGACAUGAAGACGAAGAUGUCAAACCACGACCACAGCCUGUGGACUUCCAUUCUCAGCACCAAGCACAUCGAGUAUGCUGCCAAGGACGCCUACACUGCGUUCGAGAUAUGGAACCGAAUCACCACAAUGAAGAGAGGCCUCGCGUGCGCUGAAAAAGAGAAGACCAGGAAGCGCCCGAGGUCAUCCUGGAGGGGGUGGGGCAAGGGGGCAUCAACUUCCACCUCCAACUCCAACGGGUGGAACUAGUGAAGCAGGCCAGAUGCUGAAAGCCAAGGAUUCCCUGUCGCAAGUGCUCGAUUAGUUUCCCUCUGCGUAUGUAGAUUAGUUUGCUUUCGUUGUAGUUUGCUUUGGGACAAUGUUUGCUUAUGUUGCGUUAGUUUGCUUGAUGAUGCACUAUGUUAAUUAUGAGCGCAGAACCUUGGUUUCUAUCUAUCAACUAUAUGCAGUUCUCAAUAGUCUGUUCUCAGUAUGUAUAUUGCUUCAAAACUGCUGCUGUAGCUAGGAUACACAUAAAAAACAAAACUAUCAGAGCAGUUCACAUAGAGUAUUCUUUCACAAAACUGCUGCUAUUAAGAAGGUUGAUGCAGUCCUCUUUUAUUAAAAAAACUCUAGUUCCGAAUGUGGGUUAAAAAAAGGAAAAGCUCGGUGGGGGUUUCCAGUAUGGAUGUUCUUCAACUACUGCUGCUGAUAGGAUGCACAUGAAAAACUAUAUGUAAAAAAACAGUGCACUUAUACUCAGAAUUCUCAUAAGAAAGAACACUAGAAGCCACGCAAAAAAUGUCAAAUUAUUACAACAAAAAUGUCUCAUGCUGCUGCUGCUCAAGCAAGACUGAUCUAAAGCAAAUUUAACUUGAUUUCCAAACACUUUGCAUGCCUAUAAAAACAUAGCCAUAAAGCAGUGCGGUUACAUAACAAUGUGCAUUUCGCAUUGCAUAUUACUGCAGUCCACCGCGCUUGAUCAAGCAAAAAAACUUAUCAAACUAGUCCCCACACACCCCCGUGGCUGUAAUGCAGUUCAUACAGGCUCGCAUUGCACAUUAAUGCAGUUCGCCGCACUACAAAAAUUCACCCGCGCAUUGCAUAUUACUGCAGUCCACCGCUAUUGACCACGAUUCACAGACGAAAAACACAGCCUGCAAUGCAGUUCUAACAACUAUAUAAUGCAAAAAAAUCUCAAAAAACAUCUUUGAGAAACGACCAGAGCCAGUGGCGCCGCAAUAAACAUGGACAAAAACUUAAAUUCUUCAAAAUUAACAACUUAAUCCGCUCCAAUUCAUACGGAUAGAUCAAAGGCAGCCCGUAAUUGCCAAAAACAACAGAAUAUUACAUACAAAAACGCAACAAUUUUGAUCCGGACGGGGAAGAACAGAGAACAGACGUUUUCCGCUAGAAACAGAGAGAUACUCGACAAAUUAUACUGAAAUUUCAAUCCUAUUAGCAGAUUAAUCUGUCACAGAAUAACAC